rnacentral:rRNA from 1 species
AACGAACGCUGGCGGCAUGCCUAACACAUGCAAGUCGAACGAGACCUUCGGGUCUAGUGGCGCACGGGUGCGUACCGCGUGGGAACCUGCCCUUAGGUUCGGAAUAACUCCCCGAAAGGGGUGCUAAUACCGGAUAAUGUCUUAGGACCAAAGAGUUAUCGCCUUUGGAUGGGCCCGGGUUGGAUUCGCUGGUUGGUAGGGUAAAAGCCUACCAAGGCGACGAUCCAUAGCUGGUCUGAGAGGAUGAACAGCCGCACUGGGACUGAGACACGGCCCAGACGCCUACGGGAGGCAGCAGAGGUGAAUAUUGGACAGUGAGCGAGAGCCUGAACCAGCAAUGCCGCGAGAGUGAUGAAGGCCUUAGGGUUGUAAAGCUCUUUUACCCGGGAUGAUAAGGACAGUACCGGUAGAAUAAGCCCCGGCUAACUCCGU